UACGGAGGGGGCUAGCGGUGUUCGGAAUUACUGGGCGUAAAGCGCACGUAGGCGGCUUUGUAAGUCAGAGGUGAAAGCCCGGAGCUCAACUCCGGAAUAGCCUUUGAGACUGCAUCGCUUGAAUCCAGGAGAGGUGAGUGGAAUUCCGAGUGUAGAGGUGAAAUUCGUAGAUAUUCGGAAGAACACCAGUGGCGAAGGCGGCUCACUGGACUGGUAUUGACGCUGAGGUGCGAAAGCGUGGGGAGCAAACAGG
rnacentral:rRNA from 1 species